rnacentral:rRNA from 1 species
AUACGUAGGGGGCAAGCGUUAUCCGGAUUUACUGGGCGUAAAGGGCGUGUAGGCGGUCUUGCAAGUCAGAAGUGAAAUUCCUGAGCUCAACUCGGGCGCUGCUUCUGAAACUGCAGGACUUGAGUGCUGGAGGGGAUAGCGGAAUUCCUAGUGGAGCGGUAAAAUGCGCAGAUAUUAGGAAGAACACCGGUGGCGAAGGCGGCUAUCUGGACAGUAACUGACGCUGAGGCGCGAAAGCGUGGGGAGCAAACAGGAUUAGAUACCCGGGUAGUCCACGCCGUAAACGAUGAAUACUAGGUGUAGGGGGUAUCGACUCCCUCUGUGCCGCAGUUAACACAAUAAGUAUUCCGCCUGGGGAGUACGGCCGCAAGGUUGAAACUCAAAGGAAUUGACGGGG